GCCGGGAGCAGUGGCGUGCCCCUGUAGUCCAAGCAUCUGGGAGGCUGAGACUGGCGGAUCGUUUGAGUUCAGGGGAUCGGGGCUGCAGUGAGCUAUGACGAGCGGAUGUCCACACUAAGAUCGGUGUCGAUAUGGUGCUCCUGGGGAGCCCGAGAUCACCAGGUCGUCUCAGGAGGGGUGCACCGGCCCAGGUCGGAAACGGAGCAGGUCAAAGCCCCCGUAUCGAUCAGUAGUUGGAUAGCACCUGUGAAUAGACGCUGGAGUUCGGCCUGAGCAAUACAGCGAGACUCAGUCUUUU
ensembl:misc_RNA Metazoa_SRP Metazoan signal recognition particle RNA